UUGCCCAUCGAGGCCUGUCUCCUGCCUUAGCCUCUGUAAGUCCUCCAUCUCUUGGAUGGAAAGCUGUUGGCCCAGAUGUUGGGCAUGAGGCCUGUCCCUGGCUCUCUGGAGAGAGCAAAUGAAGCAGAUGCAAGGAUGACCCCCUCCUGGGCCCCGCUGACCACAUGGGUGCUGCCCCGGAACAUGGGGGUCAGCCCAGUUCUGAAGGUGAGACGGGGGCCCAGCCUGUCAGCACAGUGCAGCUGGUUUUCAGCAGCCUUACACCCUUCUCAGGAAGGGCUGGUGCCCCCGUGCCCAUCUCCUCUGUUCCCUGUAGGUCAGCUAGCAAAUCAUCCAAAAGGACCCAGCACCAGCCAGAGGCAGGCCAGCCCAGAAACGCAUGGGCCAGUCUCUGCUCUUUCUGUUCCCACUGUGAACUUCCAGAAGUUCCUUCAGACAGUAUAUUUUCCCUCUUUCCCAACCACUUUUCACUGGGUAUCCACAAAGAAGUUAAAACUGUGCCUUGGACCUCCUACCAGGGUGCCCGCCCAGAACAGUGGGGGCAGUGCUUCCUGUUGCAGCCCCCACCCAGCCGGGCACAGGCCCAGUGUCCCUGUGGGACUCCAUCCAGGACUUGCUGAAAUGGCCAAUGAUACAAAGGAGCCCCGACUUCACCCAUGGCCAGCUUCCCUCGCCAUCCUCCCUGCGGCCAAAGGACUUGCCCUCACCUGUUCUUUCCAGGACAAAUCCUCUGCCAGGUUCCGCCUCAGGACACCCAAGUUCAGCACAGACAGCCUAGCAGCCUGGGUGACAGGAUCCCGGCGGACAGGAUUCUCUCCUUGCCAGAGAGAUGAGGACAAAUUCUCCCUUCAUCCUUGAGAUUGGACUCCCGUCACACAUCCUGGAGGAGCCUACAGAGAAGCCAGCAGGUCUCCCUCACCUGGACGGUGGCAGCCGGUGGCCCGGACCACCCAGAGGCCCUCCCCUGCACCUGAUGGGACAGCCCCUGGGACAUAAGUCUCCCCUGCCACUUCCACUGUGGCCACUAGAACUGUGGUGGAGAAAAUCGCUAGGACACAAAGAAGUCAAUGAUUUCAACAAACGGAAUUUCUUUGUCCUUUGUAAAAGUCAACACAUGAUCUGUUACUGAUUGGGGAUGUGAAAUAAAACUAAAAAUAACAGCACACUGAGCCUGGUUCAGAGCUCAGCUCACCUUUA